rnacentral:rRNA from 1 species
UACGAAGGGGGCUAGCGUUGCUCGGAAUCACUGGGCGUAAAGGGUGCGUAGGCGGGUCUUUAAGUCCGAGGUGAAAUCCCAAGGCUCAACCUUGGAACUGCCUUUGAUACUGGGAGUCUUGAGUUCGGGAGAGGUGAGUGGAACUGCGAGUGUAGAGGUGAAAUUCGUAGAUAUUCGCAAGAACACCAGUGGCGAAGGCGGCUCACUGGCCCGAUACUGACGCUGAGGUGCGAAAGCGUGGGGAGCAAACAGG